CAGCAGCCACGGUAAUACGGAGGGUGCAAGCGUUAAUCGGAAUUACUGGGCGUAAAGCGCACGCAGGCGGUCUGACAAGUCAGAUGUGAAAUCCCCGGGCUUAACCUGGGAACUGCAUUUGAAACUGUCAGGCUGGAGUCUUGUAGAGGGGGGUAGAAUUCCAGGUGUAGCGGUGAAAUGCGUAGAGAUCUGGAGGAAUACCGGUGGCGAAGGCGGCCCCCUGGACAAAGACUGACGCUCAGGUGCGAAAGCGUGGGGAGCAAACAGGAUUAGAUACCCCAGUAGUCCCUGUCUCUUAUAC
rnacentral:rRNA from 1 species